AUGGCAAUAAAUAACUUUGUAGAUGUGUUGCACGAUCAAAGGUGGGAGUCUAUUCCAUGGAAAAAGUUGCGGUUGGAGAUAUUAUCAAGGUUAAGCAGGAUGGUUUUUUCCUGCUGAUAUGCUUUUACUUGCUAGUACAAAUGCUGAUGGUUGUUUGCUACAUUGAGACCGCAAAUUUGGAUGGGGAAACAAAUCUAAAAUUCGGAAGGCAUAGAAAGGACUUGGGAUUACAUCACUCCUGAAAAGGCUUGUGAAUUUAAAGGUGAAGUGCAGUGUGAGCAACCAAACAACUCUUUGUACACUUUCACGGCAAUCUUGUAAUAGACAAUCAAACAUUGCCUCUUUCUCCAAAUCAGAUUUUACUGAGGG